rnacentral:tRNA from 1 species
AUUUUUAUAUUAAUAAGUAAAUAAAUGAUCCUUUUAAGAUUAGAAGAAAAAAUUACCUUGGGGAUA